rnacentral:rRNA from 1 species
GAUGAACGCUGGCGGCGUGCCUAAUACAUGCAAGUCGAGCGAACAGACGAGGAGCUUGCUCCUCUGACGUUAGCGGCGGACGGGUGAGUAACACGUGGAUAACCUACCUAUAAGACUGGGAUAACUUCGGGAAACCGGAGCUAAUACCGGAUAAUAUAUUGAACCGCAUGGUUCAAUAGUGAAAGACGGUUUUGCUGUCACUUAUAGAUGGAUCCGCGCCGCAUUAGCUAGUUGGUAAGGUAACGGCUUACCAAGGCAACGAUGCGUAGCCGACCUGAGAGAGGGAUCGGCCACACUGGAACUGAGACACGGUCCAGACUCCUACGGGAGGCAGCAGUAGGGAAUCUUCCGCAGUGGGCGAAAGCCUGGCGGAGCGACGCCGCGUGAGUUAUGAAGGUCUUCGGAUCGUAAAACUCUGUUAUGAGGGAAGAACAAAUGUGUAAGUAACUAUGCACGUCUUGACGGUACCUAAUCAGAAAGCCACGGCUAACUACGUG